UUGGAGGGCAAGUCUGGUGCCAGCAGCCGCGGUAAUUCCAGCUCCAAUAGCGUAUAUUAAAGUUGUUGCAGUUAAAAAGCUCGUAGUUGAAUUUCGGGAUCAAUUUGUUGGUCGUGCCUCGGUACGUACUGGCAUUAUUGGUUUCUACCUUCUGAAGAACCUUGAUGUCAUUAAUUUGGUGUCUUGGGGAAUCAGGACUGUUACUUUGAAAAAAUUAGAGUGUUUAAAGCAGGCAUACGCUUGAAUACAUUAGCAUGGAAUAAUGAAAUAGGACGUUUGAUUCUAUUUUGUUGGUUUCUAGGAUCGACGUAAUGAUUAAUAGGGAUAGUUGGGGGCAUUAGUAUUCAAUUGUCAGAGGUGAAAUUCUUGGAUUUAUUGAAGACUAACUACUGCGAAAGCAUUUGCCAAGGAUGUUUUCAUUAAUCAAGAACGAAAGUUAGGGGAUCGAAGACGAUCAGAUACCGUCGUAGUCUUAACCAUAAACUAUGCCGACUAGGGAUCGGAUGAUGUUAUUUUUAAUGACUCAUUCGGCGCCUUACGGGAAACCAAAGUGUUUGGGUUC
rnacentral:rRNA from 1 species